rnacentral:rRNA from 1 species
GUCUACGGCCAUACCACCCUGAACACGCCCUAUCUCAUCUGAUCUCGGAAGCUAAGCAGGGUCGGGCCUGGUUAGUACUUGGAUGGGAGAAAAUGUCAGUUGUGGAUA